GUGUAUUAUGGUGUAUGAUGGUCGAAGUGUGUCAGAUGGUUGUCAGAUGGUGUAUGAUGGAGUAUGAUGGUCGAAGUGUGUCAGAUGGUUUUCAGAUGGUGUAUGAUGGUGUAGGGUGGUUAUACAGGGGAGGGUUGUCAGAUGGUGAAGAUGGUACAGAUGGUGUAUGAUGGUCGAAGUAUGUCAGAUGGUUGUCAGACGGUGUAUAAUGGUGUAUGAUGGUCGAAGUGUGUCAGAUGGUUUUCAGAUGGUUGUCAGAUGGUGUAUGAUGGUGUAGGGUGGUUAUACAGGGAAACGUUGUCAGAUGGUGAAGAUGGUACAGAUGGUGUAUGAUGGUCGAAAUGUGUCAGAUGGUUGUCAGAUGGUGUAUGAUGGUGUAUGAUGGUCGAAGUGUGUCAGAUGGUUGUCAGAUGGUUGUCAGAUGGUGUAUGAUGGUGUAGGGUGGUUAUACAGGGAAACGUUGUC